rnacentral:rRNA from 1 species
CGCGCGACAAGCCCCUAUACGAUGGGCCCUUUACGUAAUGCAUGGCGACCAUACUUGACCAAGGAGGUUGUCGCUCGACUCGCGCGGUACCUUACACCCAAACAAUCAUCUACGAACUACGGCAGCAUGCACGCACCAGCCCAACUGCGAGCCACCGCUGCUGCUAUAACUGCGUCCACCUCUUCAGGGACCACCAAAAGCACUAUCAUCCUAACCAAACGAUUCCGUUCUCACAAUGAUACAAACGGAGCACAGCGAUAAAGUGAUAUUAUAUCGACGAUAUGACAAUUCGAAAAAUUNAAAUACCCAACAAUACUAUUCACAACACGACAUUUGAUUGACGAAGGGUACCCCACGAUACAAAAUAUCACCUAUUUGAAAGGUUUUUAUAAAACGCAUAAUGACAGAGACACAGUUAAACGUACACACACAAAGGGGCAGAGGUACAAAACCUAUACAACCGGCAGAUAUAAGACUUACCGGCAAUAACCAAAAAGGUAUUUACAAAAAACCGCCACCAAAACAAGACUAAGGUAUAGAACGAUACGGUAUAUAGAGGGCCGAUGGGAACUUAACCCAGAGGAGUAAUUCUAAAAUCCCCUGGUUUUAGGCUACCACACAACGACUUUUACCGUAGCAAUAGAAGACGGUACAAGAUAGAUCAAUUCCCACCAAGGGUGAGACAUAGACCCUAUUCGACCCAAGACAGAGAUAAUUUCCCAUUCACAACAAGUCAUUCCUAACAGCCAAUAUUACAAACUAGGCUAAACAACAGAUGAGGAAAUAUCAUUACACACCACCCAUACUUAGAACAGCAACCUCAUAAAAUCCUGUAGCCAAGUCCUUCCCAAAUGGCCCGGAUUACCCCAAAGGGUUUAAGGCACACGGGAGGGUCUUUAUCAGCGAUUUCUAAGAACCUAUGGACAAGGGAGAACCCAGGACCCAUUGUCUGGCCAACCGACCUUUUGUAAACAGACGCACCAAGGAUUGAGAAUUUACGCCCGGAAUUGAUCAAAACGCGGCCUGGUGGGCAAACCCCCCUUUAACCGGUAAUUUUGACCCCGGCUGGGCCUUGGGCUUGGGACAACCGGUAAAGUAUAUGGCCCAGUGGUGGGCCUCUAUUUUUCCUUUUCCCCGGAGGGUAACCUUGGUUGCAAUUCCACCCCCGUCUGCAAGGGGGGUCAUUUUCAUGGCCCCGAGAGCCAGGGGAGAAAUUUUACUCCGUUACCCACCAGAAAACACGAAAAAAAAGGGUUCACCAUGUUUUAAACGAAAGCGCACCGAGAAAAAUAAGGACCCUUUUCUCUUUUACCAAGGAAACCAAACGAGCACGAGGCACAAUUGGUAGCUUUAGGGAGAUCCACAGAGGCUUUUUGUGUGCCCCCCAUAUGUGGGUUCCCAAAGUAGGAUUUCCCCCGCAACUUUGGGCUUGGCCCUUUCCCCCGGUUAAGGGAAGUUCUUGGGGGGCCCGGUGGGUCCUCCAGGUUCCCCCCCCGUUGGGUGGGCGGGGGUUCAUUUCCUUCUCGGGGAACCCCGGGCUUACUUGGAUCGGGUCGGCCCUUUUGGGUUGAGGCCCUUUAUAUCCCUUUCUGCCCUAACUUUAUGCGCCUNNUUUUGUUUCNC